AUGAACGCUAGCGACAGGCUUAACACAUGCAAGUCGAGGGGCAGCGGGGGUAGCGAUACCCGCCGGCGACCGGCGCACGGGUGAGUAACGCGUAUGCAACUUGCCUAUCAGAGGGGGAUAACCCGGCGAAAGUCGGACUAAUACCGCAUGAAGCAGGGGCCCCGCAUGGGGAUAUUUGCUAAAGAUUCAUCGCUGAUAGAUAGGCAUGCGUUCCAUUAGGCAGUUGGCGGGGUAACGGCCCACCAAACCGACGAUGGAUAGGGGUUCUGAGAGGAAGGUCCCCCACAUUGGUACUGAGACACGGACCAAACUCCUACGGGAGGCAGCAGUGAGGAAUAUUGGUCAAUGGGCGUAAGCCUGAACCAGCCAAGUCGCGUGAGGGAUGAAGGUUCUAUGGAUCGUAAACCUCUUUUAUAAGGGAAUAAAGUGCGGGACGUGUCCCGUUUUGUAUGUACCUUAUGAAUAAGGAUCGGCUAACUCCGUGCCAGCAGCCGCGGUAAUACGGAGGAUCCGAGCGUUAUCCGGAUUUAUUGGGUUUAAAGGGUGCGUAGGCGGCCUUUUAAGUCAGCGGUGAAAGUCUGUGGCUCAACCAUAGAAUUGCCGUUGAAACUGGGGGGCUUGAGUAUGUUUGAGGCAGGCGGAAUGCGUGGUGUAGCGGUGAAAUGCAUAGAUAUCACGCAGAACCCCGAUUGCGAAGGCAGCCUGCCAAGCCAUUACUGACGCUGAUGCACGAAAGCGUGGGGAUCAAACAGGAUUAGAUACCCUGGUAGUCCACGCAGUAAACGAUGAUCACUAGCUGUUUGCGAUACACUGUAAGCGGCACAGCGAAAGCGUUAAGUGAUCCACCUGGGGAGUACGCCGGCAACGGUGAAACUCAAAGGAAUUGACGGGGGCCCGCACAAGCGGAGGAACAUGUGGUUUAAUUCGAUGAUACGCGAGGAACCUUACCCGGGUUUGAACGCAUUCGGACCGAGGUGGAAACACCUUUUCUAGCAAUAGCCGUUUGCGAGGUGCUGCAUGGUUGUCGUCAGCUCGUGUCGUGAGGUGUCGGCUUAAGUGCCAUAACGAGCGCAACCCUUGCCACUAGUUACUAACAGGUAAAGCUGAGGACUCUGGUGGGACUGCCAGCGUAAGCUGCGAGGAAGGCGGGGAUGACGUCAAAUCAGCACGGCCCUUACAUCCGGGGCGACACACGUGUUACAAUGGCGUGGACAAAGGGAGGCCACCUGGCGACAGGGAGCGAAUCCCCAAACCACGUCUCAGUUCGGAUCGGAGUCUGCAACCCGACUCCGUGAAGCUGGAUUCGCUAGUAAUCGCGCAUCAGCCAUGGCGCGGUGAAUACGUUCCCGGGCCUUGUACACACCGCCCGUCAAGCCAUGGGAGCCGGGGGUACCUGAAGUCCGUAACCGCGAGGAUCGGCCUAGGGUAAAACUGGUGACUGGGGCU
rnacentral:rRNA from 1 species